rnacentral:lncRNA from 1 species
AAAGCCCUUUUAUAAUACUCUUUCAAACCAAAUUCAACAAUACUCAUCUAAAAGUCUUUGGAUGCCUUGCCUUCACUGCCAUUCUUGCCAGUGGAAGACAUAAGUUCAAUCUUAGAUUUAAAACAUCUGUCUUCAUUAGUUAUCCUUUCAGCAUCAAAGGGUAUAGAUUAUUAGAUUUCAAGUCAAAUAAAGUAUUUAUUUCAAUGAAUGUCACAUUUUAUGGGAACAUUUUUCCUUGCAAAAAUCUCACCUGCGACGACAUCGUUCCUCUGCCUAACUUUGACCAUCUCAAUUUCAUGCAAAACCCUAGUGUCUCUAAUGAUCCUCUCUUCGCUUUCCCUAAUGAUAUCAUAUUGAUCAUACUGAUGAAGAUUCAUUUGCACCUGAUAUUCUAGCAACCUCUAACUCCAAUAUAGACACCAACCAUGACAUAACACAACUCCCCAUCAACAUUUUGGAACCAAAUCAUCCUAUUGUCACACAUUUACCCAGCAAGUCUAGCAUAAUUUGAAGGGCCCCUUCUCACUUAUAAGACUUAAUAUGUCAACAAGUUUCUUCAACUCUUCAUCUCAGAAGUUAAACAAGCAAAAAAAGUGAAUACUAUAGGUAAUAUCUUUCUUUUUAGUGAUAGGAUUGUCUAUUAUAAACUAUCUACACCUUAUCGUGUUUUUGUAACUUCAAUAACAAAUCACUCUGAGCCUAGGAAUUAUCAAGAAGUCAUGACCUCUCUUGAAUGGUAU